rnacentral:rRNA from 1 species
CCUACGGGGGGCAGCAGUGGGGAAUAUUGCACAAUGGGCGCAAGCCUGAUGCAGCGACGCCGCGUGAGGGAUGACGGCCUUCGGGUUGUAAACCUCUUUCAGCAGGGAAGAAGCGAAAGUGACGGUACCUGCAGAAGAAGCGCCGGCUAACUACGUGCCAGCAGCCGCGGUAAUACGUAGGGCGCGAGCGUUGUCCGGAAUUAUUGGGCGUAAAGAGCUUGUAGGCGGUUUGUUGCGUCUGCUGUGAAAGACCGGGGCUUAACCCCGGUAUUGCAGUGGGUACGGGCAGACUAGAGUGCAGUAGGGGAGACUGGAAUUCCUGGUGUAGCGGUGAAAUGCGCAGAUAUCAGGAGGAACACCGAUGGCGAAGGCAGGUCUCUGGGCUGUAACUGACGCUGAGAAGCGAAAGCAUGGGGAGCGAACAGGAUUAGAUACCCCGGUAGUC